GCAGGUCGGAUUUCCCAGGUUAUUGUUGGAGAUGAGCAACGACAGUACCUCUUGGUGAUUGGGCGGGAUGUAGAUGAUGUCCAGUUAGCUCAGCGUUUGGCUCAGGCAAAUGAGAUUGUCUUGUCCUGGAACUGCUGGACACUCUGUGAGCAGUACAUGUUUGAAGUGGAAAUCAUGAAGGAGGAUGAAGCUGUGAAGUUAAGAGAUAUGCGGAUCACUGACCCAUUUGAUUUUGAUGAGCAUUUUGACAAGUGCCUCAAUUAUCUGCCACAUUACCGGACAAGUGCUAAUACUCUAAGAACUGCCCUGGAGUUGGAUCCAGACUCUGCACUUGAGCAAACUCUGCGGAAGCAUAUAAUGAAAAACCUCUUGAAGAAG